UACGAAGGGUGCAAAGCGUUGCUCGGAAUUAUUGGGCGUAAAGCGCACGUAGGCGGCUAUCUAAGUCGGAUGUGAAAUCCCUCGGCUUAACCAAGGAAGUGCACCCGAAACUGGAUAGCUUGAGUACAGAAGAGGAUCGCGGAAUUCCGGUGUAGAGGUGAAAUUCGUAGAUAUCGGGAGGAACACCAGUGGCGAAGGCGGCGAUCUGGGCUGAUACUGACGCUGAGGUGCGAAAGCGUGGGAGCAAACAGG
rnacentral:rRNA from 1 species